GAUGAAGAACGUAGCGAAAUGCGAUAAGUAAUGUGAAUUGCAGAAUUCAGUGGAUCAUCGAAUCUUUGAACGCACCUUGCGCUCCUUGGCAUUCCGAGGAGCAUGCCUGUUUGAGUGUCAUUAAAUUCUCAAGACCUGUCUGCUUUUUUGAUAGGUAUUGGAUUUUGGGGGUUGCAGGCUGUUUCAAAUAAAUAGCCUUGCUCUCCUUGAAUGUAUUAGUGGAGAAAAGCCAUUGAACUCCAUUGGUGUGAUAAAACCUAUCAAUGCCAGGAGCAAUAUCACUACUUCUCUCUGCUGUCUAACUGUGACUGUCUGUAUUAAUUAGUAUGGAUGGGGACAACUUGACCAACUUGACCUCAAAUCAGGUAGGACUACCCGCUGAACUUAAGCAUAUCAAUAAGCGGAGGA
rnacentral:misc_RNA from 1 species